CUGACCAGCCAAGUAGCGUGAAGGAUGAAGGCUCUAUGGGUCGUAAACUUCUUUUAUAAAGGAAUAAAGUGCACCACGUGUGCUGUUUUGUAUGUACUUUAUGAAUAAGGAUCGGCUAACUCCGUGCCAGCGAGCCGCGGUAAUA
rnacentral:rRNA from 1 species